GCCCGGAGGCCCCGGGGGCCCCGGGAUGGGGAACCGCGGUGGCUUCCGCGGAGGUUUCGGCAGUGGCAUCCGGGGCCGGGGUCGCGGCCGUGGACGGGGCCGGGGUCGCGGCCGUGGACGGGGCCGGGGCCAGGCCGCGGAGCUCGCGGAGGCAAAGCCGAGGACAAGGAAUGGAUGCCUGUCACCAAGUUGGGCCGCCUGGUCAAAGACAUGAAGAUUAAAUCUCUGGAGGAGAUCUAUCUUUUCUCUAUGCCCAUCAAGGAAUCUGAAAUCAUUGACUUUUUCCUGGGGGCCUCUCUCAAGGAUGUGGUUUUGAAGAUUAUGCCGGUGCAGAAGCAGACCCGUGCUGGCCAGCGCACCGGGUUCAAGGCCUUUGUUGCUGUUGGGGACUACAAUGGUCACGUGGGUCUGGGUGUUAAGUGUUCCAAGGAGGUGGCCACUGCCAUCCGUGGGGCCAUCAUCCUGGCCAAGCUCUCCAUUGUCCCCGUGCGCAGAGGCUACUGGGGGAACAAGAUCGGCAAGCCCCACACUGUCCCUUGCAAGGUGACAGGCCGCUGUGGUUCUGUGCUGGUGCGUCUCAUCCCCGCGCCCAGGAGUACUGGCAUCGUCUCAGCACCUGUGCCCAAGAAGCUGCUUAUGAUGGCUGGUAUCGAUGACUGCUACACCUCAGCUAGGGGCUGCACUGCCACCUUGGGCAACUUUGCCAAGGCCACCUUUGAUGCCAUCUCUAAGACUUACAGCUACCUGACCCCCGAUCUCUGGAAGGAGACAGUGUUCACCAAGUCUCCCUAUCAGGAAUUCACUGACCACCUUGUCAAGACCCACACCAGAGUCUCCGUGCAGAGGACCCAAGCUCCAGCUGUGGCUACAACAUAGGGUUUUUAUACAAGAAAAAUAAAGUGAAUUAA